UGGCCAGGCCGACCUAGCCAUCGGUGAGGCUUGGCCUCGCCAGAUCUGGCGAGGCCGAGCCUCGUCGGUGGCUGGACUUGCCUCCAGC
rnacentral:pre_miRNA from 1 species